UGCCUCCGUAGCUCAGGGGAUAGAGCACUGGUUUCCGGUACCAGUGGCCGCAGGUUCGAAUCCUGCCGGGGGCACCCA
rnacentral:tRNA from 1 species